UGGGAAGAUUAUUCAAAGGGAUGGUGAUGUCAGGGGGAGGGAAGUGAUGUCAUUUGAGGUGAUGUCAUAGGAAGGUGAUAUCAUGGGAUGAUGAUGUGAAGGAGAGG